UUAUAGAUGGAUCCGCGCUGCAUUAGCUAGUUGGUAAGGUAACGGCUUACCAAGGCAACGAUGCAUAGCCGACCUGAGAGGGUGAUCGGCCACACUGGAACUGAGACACGGUCCAGACUCCUACGGGAGGCAGCAGUAGGGAAUCUUCCGCAAUGGGCGAAAGCCUGACGGAGCAACGCCGCGUGAGUGAUGAAGGUCUUCGGAUCGUAAAACUCUGUUAUUAGGGAAGAACAUAUGUGUAAGUAACUGUGCACAUCUUGACGGUACCUGAUCAGAAAGCCACGGCUAACUACGUGCCAGCAGCCGCGGUAAUACGUAGGUGGCAAGCGUUAUCCGGAAUUAUUGGGCGUAAAGCGCGCGUAGGCGGUUUUUUAAGUCUGACGUGAAAGCCCGCGGCUCAACCGUGGAGGGUCAUUGGAAACUGGAAAACUUGAGUGCAGAAGAGGAAAGUGGAAUUCCAUGUGUAGCGGUGAAAUGCGCAGAGAUAUGGAGGAACACCAGUGGCGAAGGCGACUUUCUGGUCUGUAACUGACGCUGAUGUGCGAAAGCGUGGGGAUCAAACAGGAUUAGAUACCCUGGUAGUCCACGCCGUAAACGAUGAGUGCUAAGUGUUAGGGGGUUUCCGCCCCUUAGUGCUGCAGCUAACGCAUUAAGCACUCCGCCUGGGGAGUACGACCGCAAG
rnacentral:rRNA from 1 species